rnacentral:lncRNA from 1 species
CUCAAAAUAACUUCCAAGAACACUGAAAAAUCCCGAAAAUCUUCAUAAAACAAAAAUCGAAAAAAUGAAAGGCGUGGAUCGGCUUUCACUCACAUCCAACCGCUCCCAUUUAUCCGAGAUUUGUUCAAACAAACUAAAGCGCGUGAGGGAGAAGGCGGAUUCGAUUUGGGUGAAAUCAUUAGCGAAUAUCCUGAGUUUGCUAUCAUUGCUAUGCGGAAGAAGGAGAAGAGAGGGGGGGGGGACCAUGGGGUGAUCACUGGGUGAACUCGCCGGGUUUGGGCGAGUUCCGGCGAGUUUGGAGGCGGGCAACGAUAAGGGUUGCGGCUGG